UUCAAGGCAAGGGGAACAAAAUUAAUAAUUCUCCAAACAGGAACCUUGAUACACCCAGCAUAAAAAGUCUUGAGAAAUCAUUGACCUUUGGGAUUGGAUCAAAAGUCAACAUGGUCACCAAGCAAAGCGGCUUUGUUUCCUCUCCCCAGGUUGUUAACUAAGUCAGAUACCUGAUCCUACACACAGCCUAUCCGAGCCAGGGCCAAGCCAUCUGUCAAUUUGUUUCAGCUACACGACGAGAAGUAAUUUUUAAGGGAUCACACACUAAGAAUCAGGACAUAAACCCCUGUUUGUUCCCUCUAAGGGAUGUGUGUCCAAGUGUGGACUCAAAUCCACAUGCAGCUUUCAUCUGGGCCAGAGGGGCACAUAAGCAGGGUCCCUGCUGGCCAGGCCAUGGAGACACAGAGCCGGGGGUCUAGAUGCCCCUGCUUCUGCUGCAAAGAAGUGGGCAAAGCUUCUGGUCUGGACGCGCAACUCCAGAGUGAUUUGCAACGCCAGGCCCAGGAAGAAACGGAAUAUGGGAAUGUAAGCACAGACUGCACAAGGGCCUCAUCAAUAAAAGACGGCUUGGAA